UGUUAAUACUCACAUGUUUUCGGUACAUUUUCUAUUAGCGCGUCCAAGCAGACCCAUGUUUACCACCAAGUUGCCACUGGCGCUAAUUCGGAUCAAUUCGUUAACGUACAACCGGCUGUUGUGGAAGUCGAUAUUUGGUGAACAAAACUGCUAAACUCUGCACGAAAGUACAAUAAUAUUGUUGAGCUCCUUACCCCCUCACCCUCUAUAAUUCCAAUGAAGCCUGAAAUGAUCAAAGUUAUAAGCACUUCCUUUCAUAGACAUACUAUUUCAACAAUGUCUGAAGCACGAAGGGGCACGAAAUUUAUAAGAGAAAGCGUUGCCGGAAAAUUACAGGAAAUGUAAAUUAAAGCCGUAAUAUUUUAUUAUGUUGUUAAAGUAAAAAGUUGUAGUUGGACAAAAGUAAAACUAUGGAAGACUUGAA